GAUGAACGCUGGCGGCGUGCCUAAUACAUGCAAGUCGAGCGAACAGAUAAGGAGCUUGCUCCUUUGACGUUAGCGGCGGACGGGUGAGUAACACGUGUGUAACCUACCUAUAAGACUGGGAUAACUUCGGGAAACCGGAGCUAAUACCGGAUAAUAUUUCGAACCGCAGGGUUCGAUAGUGAAAGAUGGUUUUGCUAUCACUUAUAGAUGGACCCGCGCCGUAUUAGCUAGUUGGUAAGGUAACGGCUUACCAAGGCGACGAUACGUAGCCGACCUGAGAGGGUGAUCGGCCACACUGGAACUGAGACACGGUCCAGACUCCUACGGGAGGCAGCAGUAGGGAAUCUUCCGCAAUGGGCGAAAGCCUGACGGAGCAACGCCGCGUGAGUGAUGAAGGUCUUCGGAUCGUAAAACUCUGUUAUUAGGGAAGAACAUACGUGUAAGUAACUGUGCACGUCUUGACGGUACCUAAUCAGAAAGCCACGGCUAACUACGUG
rnacentral:rRNA from 1 species